rnacentral:rRNA from 1 species
UACAGAGGGGGCAAGCGUUGUUCGGAAUUACUGGGCGUAAAGGGCGCGUAGGCGGCCUCUUAAGUCGAACGUGAAAUCCCCGGGCUCAACCCGGGAACUGCGUCCGAUACUGGGAGGCUUGAAUCCGGGAGAGGGAUGUGGAAUUCCAGGUGUAGCGGUGAAAUGCGUAGAUAUCUGGAGGAACACCGGUGGCGAAGGCGGCAUCCUGGACCGGUAUUGACGCUGAGGAGCGAAAGCGUGGGGAGCGAACAGG